AUGCAUCAGUCUGGGCAGGACCCACACCUCCGGAGCCGCCUCCCAGACCCAUGCCCACCCUGGGCUGACUUGGGAGGGAAGCUGUGCUGCAGGCGUUCCUCCCAAAGCCCAGAGCUGGGGGGGGGGGGUGGCGGGAAAGGGGGAGCGCUGGGGGCACCAGGUCUCCAGGACCCCACUCUGGUCCCUGUCUCCUGCCUAGAGCAUCGUGGGGGGGAGGCCAGCUGCUCUGGGGAUGUGUUCUCAUGGCCCCAGGGCACACAGCUCUCCUCUCUGGACUCGGGGCGCUCAGACAAAUGUGCCCAGAGAGCACGGGGCUCCUGGCCAUCAGGAAACCCUCAGGCCAGCUCUUCCUCGGCUUCUGUCACUGGGGCUCCACCCCCACCCCACCCACCAGAGUGGCUGCAUCCUCAGGUGGCGACACAUCAGAUUCCAUCUCAGACACCCCUGCUGCUCCACCAGGUCCCAAGGGCCCAGACCUCACUCCCGGGUCUUCAUGUGUGUCUUCUCAUGCUCUUCGCCUCCGCUCGGUGCCCUGAACGAGGGAGGUGGGAAGGAGAGACGGGGGUGGGUAGAGGGCGGUGGCAAGGGGCGAGGAGCAGAGUGGGGGCGCCGGCCGGGCUCCCUGCCCCUGCCAUGUGGCCUCUGCUAUGCGACCUUCGGUGUCCCCAGCCAUCAAAGAGGGAUGACCAAAUGACCAACACUGCAACCGAGCAGGGCCCCAUGGGGCUCCCGGCACACAAGCCUUUCUGUGUCCUCCAGGGCUUGCUUUUAGGGAAUAAGCUGCAGCCUCCAGAACCUUCCCGGAACUCCAAAACGCGGGUGCCAAUCAGGGAAGCGGGGGAGGCAGAGACCAGGGAGGAGCGGUCAAGGGACAACAGUCCCUUGGGGCAGGUCCUGGCUCCUCCUCAAGGAAUAUAUAUAACAGUAUCUUUGAGCCUUUCCGCAGAACUAAAGCCCCAACAGAUGGAAGAACCGCUUGAUGAAGCCUUCUGCAUUCCAGAAGGAGGACCCCCAGAACCAGUCCUGGGGCCACUGGACACCAGCUUUGAAAGACAAUGA
rnacentral:lncRNA from 1 species